AUGGCGUCAAAUGCACAGUUUAUGGCUGUGAUGCUGCUACAUCUGUGCACCACGUCCUCCUCCCUAUACCUCGGUCCACCACGCCAGGCGCACAACUACCUCCGUUUUGCCGACGUCAAUCGCCAUUGCCAGUCCAUGCUCUCGUCGGCCACCGAGCUGGCCUACGAAGCCAACCGUCCCUACCAAGUGAGGCACCAGCUAUCCUUCGAGAAGGGCGACUGGCGCCAGGACGCCGACCAUGCGCCUCUCCUGCCGUUCGUCGCCGGUGACGCGCCAAAGAAGGGCGCUCGCCGGUUGCCUGAACCCCUGUCCCUUGCAACAUUCGUUGUCACGCAUGUUGACGACGACGAGGAGCACCGUGCAAGGCCAGCCGUCAACAUCAGCGGCGUCCUCGUCCUUGCCCGGAAGAGUGCCGCGCCGGAGUUCGCGCCAGGUAUGUCGGCCGUGUCGCCGGAGUUCAACCUUUCGGCGGGCAGCACCAGGCUCAAGAUUAUAUUUGUAGGCGUGUACACGGAGAGUGCAGAUAGCAAUGGGGAUGGCGACGGCGAGCGAGUACUGUGCAAGGUCGGGAGCGCUGUCCUGCCGAAGCGCAGCACCGGCGGCGUUGACCCGUGGGACUGGGCCAAGAACUCCGACCGGAGCAGCUUCCGGUCGCCUGUAACGGCCGACAACAACAUACUGCUCGUGCUACGGUACCCGAAGAAGCUGACACUGACAACCCGUGCGGUGGCCGGCACGAUGCGGAGCACGAGCGGCGCGUCGGAUGCGUCCUACUUUGACACCGUGCAGCUCGUGUCAGGGCUCAUCUCCUACAGCAUGUACCAUUACCAGCCCCAAGAGCUCGCCGCUGGCGCAGGCCACGCGCUCCCUUCGAGCGGCGCCGAUGAUGGCGUGUCCAGCCGUGCAAGGGAUGUGUACAACGGAAGCUAUCCAUGCCUAGUCCUUAACCGAAAUGCUUAUGGACAAGUCAGCACCGUGCUCCCCGGAUGGCAGUGCAACUCCACGGCAGCGACGGGCGGGUCGUGCCACGGCAUCGGGCCGUUCGAAAUGGACAAAGCAGCAGACGCGGACGCGUUCGCUGGGGUUGGCAUCAUAAUGCAGGACUUCCAGUGCCUGGAGCAAUACGACAUGGCCGGCCCGACCGGCACCGCGAUGGUGUCGGUCGUGUUCCGCGCCCUGUCCCCAUGGGAGGACUGGAGCACGGCGAGGUCGCGCUCCGGGCUUAGCGGGAAGACACUGUCGGCCGAGGGAGUCUGGAAAACAUCGACAGGGCAGGCCUGCAUGGUGGCAUGCCGUGGCAUCGCGGGCAAGAAGGCGUGCAACUUCCGGGUGUGCCUCUUCUUCCCGACGACGAUGUCCAUUACCGGCCUCGACACCAUGCUGCGAGAGAUAACCGGCGUGGACGCAGCAGCCGGCGGAGUGGCAUACCCGCCCCUCCUGUCGUUCCGGCAGCACAUGAGCCCGCCACGCCUAUGGGGCUACUAUCCCGACGAUGGCAUACCGCUGGUGUCAUACAAAUACAACUACGCGAAGGUCAAUCAGGCCGGCGAGCUGCGCCGGAGGAGCCAAUUGCCGUCGCACUUCCGCAAGAUCGUUGCGAAGUCUCUGUCCAUGAGAGAUGGCGCUGGCAAUGACAGGAGGAGCCUGUCCAGCCUCGCCGACAGGCUCACUCUCUGGUUCAUGGCCAUGCCAGACCUGUUCCGGCAGGAAUGGAUUGAGCGUCCGAUCCUUCACUUGGAGGUCUUCUCCCUCGAGCAGGUCAUCGACCGCUAUUCACCCCCGCAACACGGGGAUGGCAGACCAACAAAAGAGCCUGGAACGGAGGGGCGCAUACUACUCAAUGUGUCGGCCGAGCUCACCAUUUUUAAGGAUCGUUGGCCCCAAAAAUCAGUGAUGUCGCUUGAAGGCGUGUACAAUCCAGACGACGGUCGGAUGCACCUGAUCGGCUGCCAAGAUGUCCGGCUCCCGUGGCAAAACUCAUCGACAAGCAGAGAUCUGGGACUCGAACAAGGGAUGGACUGCUCCAUCGAGGUGAAAGUCGAGUACCCGCCGACCACGAUGCACUUGUUUGUCAUGUCGACGGCGAAGGUGCAGAUAGCGAGCACGAGGACGGCCGUCGACGCGCUGCAUUUCAAGGCGGUGAAGCUCAGGGCUAUGCCCUCGUACCCGCAGCAGCGGCCCAGCGGGUUCUACCGAGGCGUCGUCAAUGGCGUGCUCUGCAUUGUACUGCUAUCAGCCACGAUCGCGGCCGUGCUCAGCCAGCUGCGCUACAUCAAGACGCACACCGACGUGGCGCCGUACAUCUCCCUGGUCAUGCUCAGCGUCCAGGCUCUCGGCUACGGCAUCCCGCUGGUCACGGGCGUCGAGGCGAUCCUAGCGAGGGUGACCUUGCGCUCGUCCGGCGAUGUCGCCAAGGCGACGUCUUCUGGACGAACUCCCUACUACAUGUUUGACACGUGGCGGCUGUGCGAGACCAUCGACCAGGCGGUGAAGGUCCUCACGGUCUGCGCCUUCAUCCUCACGGUGCGCCUCGGCCAGAAGGUGCGGCGCUCGAGGGCGCGCAUGGUGGAGCGGUCGCCGCUGGACCCGGCGUGCGUGCCGAGCGACGGCAGGGUGUUCGUCUACUACUGCGGCGUGCACCUGGUGCUCUUCGUGCUCAUCCUCGCGCUCAACAGGGAGGCCAUGGCCGUCGAGCAGCAGGUGGCGCUGAUGCAGGACCUGUUCCUGCUCCCGCAGGCGAUUGGCAACGCCGUGUGGCGGAUAAACUGCAGGCCGCUCAAGGGGAGCUUCUACGUCGGCGUCACCUUCCUGCGCCUGCUGCCGCACGCGUAUGAAUACGGAGGGCCGCCGGCUGAUUUCCGUUCGCGCUCGGUCGACGUCAAUGCCGGCAGUCAAGGGCGCUUCUUCGCCAAGGCAGGCGACAUGGUGAUACCGCUUGCCGCGGUCGCGCUCGCGCUCGUAGUGCACGCACAGCAGCGAUGCAACUACGCGAUUGUUAGUAGGAUGGGCAAGCCGGAGCAGAAGAAGCUGCAUCACAUCUUCUAA
rnacentral:rRNA from 1 species